UACGGAGGGUGCGAGCGUUGUCCGGAAUCGACUGGGCGUAAAGGGCGCGUAGGCGGCGCGGGAAGUCCGUGGUGAAAGCCCGAGGCUCAACUUCGGGUCGGCCAUGGAUACUCCUGGGCUCGAGCACUGGUAGAGGCAGGUGGAAUUCCGGGUGUAGCGGUGAAAUGCGCAGAUAUCAGGAGGAACACCAGCGGCGAAGGCGGCGCUCGUGGGCCGGAACUGACGCUGAGGAGCGAAAGCGUGGGUAGCAAACAGG
rnacentral:rRNA from 1 species